AUUGAACGCUGGCGGCAGGCCUAACACAUGCAAGUCGAACGAGUGGCGGACGGGUGAGUAAGUUCUGGGAAACUGCCUGAUGGAGGGGGAUAACUACUGGAAACGGUAGCUAAUACCGCUUACCAUCAGAUUUGUCCAGAUGGGAUUAGCUAGUUGGUGGGGUAACGGCUCACCAAGGCGACGAUUCCUUGCUGGUCUGUGAGGAUGACCCGCCACACUGGAACCUGGACACGGUCCAGUCUCCAACGGGAGGCAGCAGUGGGGAAUCUUGGACAAUGGGCGCAAGUCUGAUGCAGCAAUGCCGCGUGUAUGAAGAAGGUUUUCGGGUUGUAAAGUACUUUCAUCGGGGAGGCGUUACCCGCCGAAGAAGCACCGGCUAACUCCGUGCCAGCAGCCGCGGUAAUUC
rnacentral:rRNA from 1 species